UACGGGGGGAGCAAGCGUUGUUCGGAUUUACUGGGCGUAAAGGGCGCGUAGGCGGCCACCGCAAGUCGAUUGUGAAAUCUCCGGGCUUAACCCGGAAAGGUCAACCGAUACUGCGGGGCUAGAGUGCAGAAGGGGCAACUGGAAUUCUCGGUGUAGCGGUGAAAUGCGUAGAUAUCAAGAGGAACACCUGCGGCGAAGGCGGGUUGCUGGGCUGACACUGACGCUGAAGUGCGAAAGCUAGGGGAGCGAACGGG
rnacentral:rRNA from 1 species